rnacentral:rRNA from 1 species
AAUAGAUACCCUGGUAGUCCACGCAGUAAACGAUGCCGACUAGGCGUGGGGGGGAGUUGACCCCCUCCGUGCCGGAGCCAACGCGGGAAGUCGGCCGCCUGGGGAGUACGGCCGCAAGGCUAAAACUCAAAGGAAUUGACGGGGGCCCGCACAAGCGGCGGAGCGUGCGGUUUAAUUCGACGCGACGCGCAGAACCUUACCUGGGCUAGAAAACGUAGGAACCUGGGUGAAAACUCGGGGUGCUCUUCGGAGAAUCUACGGUUAGGUGUUGCAUGGCUGUCAUCAGCUCGUGUCGUGAGAUGUUGGGUUAAGUCCCGCAACGAGCGCAACCCUUGUUGUUAGUUGCCAGCCUUAAGUUGGGCACUCUAACAAGACUGCCGACCUUCAAGUCGAAGGAAGGUGGGGAUGACGUCAAGUCCUCAUGGCCCCUAUGUCCAGGGCUACACACGUGCUACAAUGGGCAGGACAAAGGGCUGCAACACAGCGAUGUGAAGCCAAUCCCAAAAACCUGCUCUCAGUUCAGAUCGCAGUCUGCAA